rnacentral:rRNA from 1 species
GGCUCUUUGAAAUAAAUAUAUAAAGAGUCGAGCCUGCCCAGUGAUAAUUUAAACGGCCGCGGUACUCUGACCGUGCAAAGGUAGCAUAAUCAUUUGCCCUAUAAUUGAGGGCUUGUAUGAACGGUUUGACAAAAGCAUAACUGUCUCCUUAAAAUUUUAUAAAAUUUGGUUUUUAGGUGAAGAAACCUAAAUAUAAUUGAAAGACAAGAAGACCCUAUCGAGCUUUAGAGCAAUUAAUUAAAAAAUAUAACUAAAACAAUUAAUUUUAAUUAAAAACUUUGGUUGGGGCGACUAAGGAACAUAAAAAGCUUCCUUAAUUUAAAUAUGCUUAUAAGCUAUGAUCCAAAAAUUUUGAUUAAAAAAAUUAGUUACCGUAGGGAUAACAGCAUAAUCUUUUUCAAGAGUUCUUAUCGAAAAAAAGGUUUGUGACCUCGAUGUUGGACUAGGAUAUCCUAAAGAUGCAGAAGUCUUUAAAAGUUGGUCUGUUCGACCAUUAAAAUCCU